UAUGUCAUAUUUGCCCCUAACUAGAGCAGCCAUGACACGGGCAAAGAAGGGGCUGAGCCAGGGAUAGAGCGCUACCGUGGUGCCGAGGCGUGGAUGUCACCACCUCUUUGAGGUGCGCGCAACCAUCACCGUUGUGAGGGCCGCGGAAGUAGGUGUCAGGGUGCAGGCACAUAUGGAGGAGAUCGGGGGUGGGGGGGCGGGACGGGGAUGACGAGAUAAGAAAAUAGAAGAAAUAGAAAAUUGAGAAAGAAAAGGAAAAAAAGGAUAAUAUAGUCUUUGGUCCACCAUUAAAGCCAUAUAUUUUGCCUCUAGAAUAGAUUUAGCUUCACCAAAAAAAUUGCUCAUGAAGCUAAAGCCCUAAAAGCCAAC
rnacentral:lncRNA from 1 species